AUUGCUUCCCAGCCUUUUGGCUAAGAUCAAGUGUAGAAGUCUGGGGCACAUGAUCUCAGGGUUUUGAGUUCAAGCCCCAUAUUGCAUGUAGAGAUUGGUUAAAAAUAAAAUAUUUUUUAAAAUAUUUUCUAUUUUCCUUGCUCUAUCCAAUGAAAUGGAAAUAAACUAU
rnacentral:snRNA from 1 species